rnacentral:lncRNA from 10 species
GUGGGGGUGGGAGUUCCUUCUACCACCUGCCAUCCAUCCUAUCGCCACCCAGUGGAUGGGGUGGGCUGUGACUAUACAGGCUGAUGGGUCUCUCUAACAGCCUCCCAGCUGCCACUAGCACCCCUUCACGCCCACUUGCUUUUUACUCUGCCCCUUCUCGUCUGUCUCCAUGUAUCUCUGUCUCUAGCUCUAGCUCUCACUCUCACUCUCUCCUGGUCACCCUGUCUAGCUCCUCACCUUCCUUUCUCCCCUUCCUGGGAGUCUCCUGACCUCUGGCCACCAAUAUUUGUGUAUGGAACAGAUAAAGGAUAUAGGAUUGCUAAUCUAGGCCAAUCCACUGGUGAGUGGAGGAGGAGCAGGGGGAGGGGAUUAUACUGAAAGGAGCCCUGUCUUUGGGGAGAAAGAGAGAGUAGGGUGGACGCUGGCCUGGCACGACUCCCCUCCACAUACCCACACAGGUCAGGGUGUGUGUGUGUGUGUGAGUUUGGUCUGGAGCUGGACGGGCUGACUGUCUCAGACAAGUUACUUAACCUCUCUGUGCAUCACUUUUUCUAACUAUGAGAUGAGGAUAAUACAUUCCAAAAAUGCAGUGUGGAUUUAAGGUGAGAAUGCACGUAAGUUGCUUAGCAUGGUAUAUUGUAAGGG